rnacentral:rRNA from 1 species
CUCGUAGGCGGUUCGGUAAGUCGGGUGUGAAAACUCUGGGCUCAACCCAGAGAGGCCACUCGAUACUGCUGUGACUAGAGUGCGGGUAGGGGAGCGGGGAAUUCAUGGUGUAGCGGUGAAAUGCGCAGAUAUCAUGAGGAACACCAGUGGCGAAGGCGCCGCUCUGGGCCGUAACUGACGCUGAGGAGCGAAAGCAUGGGUAGCAAACA